rnacentral:lncRNA from 1 species
GAGUAUAUAUGAGAACCAUACUCAGAGUCAGACGCAGAAGGAGAAUCAUAAUCAUAGAAACAGGCAGAAGAAGCAGUAUUCACGAAAUCAAGAUAGGUGGACAUGUAGAAAGAAAGAAGGGGGAAAGAAGAAUGCAAUGAAAAUAUGCAACUAAGGCUAUCUAAAUGCAACACACAAUGAAAAACACACAAAACAGAACAUCACACUCACAACACAAAACAAGACACAACACACACAAACACAACAAAAGACCUAAAACCGAACCGUUGGUCCCCGGCAACGGCGCCAAAAUUUGAUGGGUGUCGCGGCCCAUACAAAUUUGAUUGCAUAUUAGGAAUGCAGUAUAGUUGAUGGAUGUCGCGGCCCAUACAAAUUUAAUUGCAUAUUAGAAAUGCAGUAUACCUAGGAAGUGACUCCUAGGUCGUCUCUCAAGGACCAAAUGUGGUUCGAGUCUUAGGUCUAACACGAAGUGGGGGGGGGGUUGUGAAAGGUUUAUGCAAGGAAAAUUAAAUUAAAUUAAAGCAGUAAAAACGAAACUGCUACAGUCUCUAUGAAAAUUCACGCUGGAACUGGGCAGCUCUGACCUUUGCUCAAUGUUUUACCCAUAACCUUUUCUACAGAGCUCUAAAUGAGAUGAGGUUUUUUUUUCCUGGAAAGUAGACUCAAUUAUCUUUCAUGUGAUAUAUAAAACGUAGCAUUUGGACCUCUGUUGUGGUUGCAGUUAUUUUUUUAAAAACGAGUCCAGAGAGUGAAAAUGCUAAACCAAAUACUUGCACCAUUUUCUUCCAAUUGCUAAUUUAACCAGUGCAGCCAGCGUGUUACCUCCAAAUUCAAGCAAUGAAUGUCUGCCUCUCCUUUUCAAUUGAGUUUGUGAGUGUAUGUGGUGCACUUUCUUUUUUUUUUCUUUUCGUAACCCCUGAAAUAAGCAUGUUGUAGCCCCCUCAUUACAGGACUUCUUUGGUUGAUUUUUGUUGGGCCGUGAGCAGUAACCUUCUCCAAUAAAAGGAAAAUCUUGCAAAUCAAUCCUUGAGAGCAUUUCUCCCAAGCCGUGAAGCAGCUGUGUGUUUCCUCCAAGGCCGUGACAUCCACUUUUAUUUUGCUGGAUGUUACUCCAUUUUCAAUUGAACACCCAUUUCUCAUAAGCCCAAAGGAUCAUCUUCAUGUGCACACUUCUUUUAUGAAAAGUCAUGAAUUAUUUAACAUCUUUCCAAAUGUUCCGAAAAUUGUAUUUCCAAAAUUUUCCUUGAAAAUAAUAAUGCAAAUAAUUAGCUCAGAAAAUUCAAAUUAAUUAAAAUUAGAAUUUCCGAUCAAAUUAAGCAUAAUUAGGAAAAAUGGGAAAAUAUCGGACAAUUAAGCACAAGUCCCUGAUUAAUUCUAGCACAAUAAACUAAGUAAAGUCAAGAAAAUAUCGACUCAUCAAUAGUGCUAGGGACCCCUAGGUCGUCUCUCAAGGACCAAAUGUGGUUCGAGUCUUAGGUCUAACACAAAGGGGGGGUUUGAAAAGUUUUGCGAAUAGAAAUUAACUAGAUUAAAGCAUGAAAAUUAAACAUAACUAAACAAAAUUCAAAGCAUUGAAGUAAAUGGUGAAAACAAUAAAAACCGCACAUAAUAGACAUCAAAUUAAACGGAAACAAUAAACUAAACGGACGAAACAACUUUGGAACUCAAGAAGAAACCUGCUCAAAUGCAUAACGAAGUUAAAUGCUGAAUUAAAAUGAACCAAAUGAGUUUGGAUACGAAUUCCAACAAUGAAACAUCAUUAAAUGCAAACCAAGAAAUGAAACAACAAUUGAAAAACUUAAUGCACUGGAAUAAAAUUU